rnacentral:rRNA from 1 species
GAUGAACGCUGGCGGCGUGCCUAAUACAUGCAAGUCGAGCGAACGGACGAGAAGCUUGCUUCUCUGAUGUUAGCGGCGGACGGGUGAGUAACACGUGGAUAACCUACCUAUAAGACUGGGAUAACUUCGGGAAACCGUAGCUAAUACCGGAAUAUUUUGAACCGCAUGGUUCAAAAGUGAAAGACGGUCUUGCUGUCACUUAUAGAUGGAUCCGCGCUGCAUUAGCUAGUUGGUAAGGUAACGGCUUACCAAGGCAACGAUGCAUAGCCGACCUGAGAGGGUGAUCGGCCACACUGGAACUGAGACACGGUCCAGACUCCUACGGGAGGCAGCAGUAGGGAAUCUUCCGCAAUGGGCGAAAGCCUGACGGAGCAACGCCGCGUGAGUGAUGAGGGUCUUCGGAUCGUAAAACUCUGUUAUUAGGGAAGAACAUAUGUGUAAGUAACUGUGCACAUCUUGACGGUACCUAAUCAGAAAGCCACGGCUAACUACGUG